AGACAGAGGUGGCAAGCGUUGUUCGGAUUUACUGGGCUUAAAGGGCGUGUAGGCGUCCUGGUAAGUCAGAUGUGGAAGCCUUGGGCUCAACCCAAGAAUUGCAUUUGAUACUGCCGGGAUUGAGUCGUGCAUGGGAGGGCGGAAUUCCUGGUGUAGCGGUGAAAUGCGUAGAUAUCAGGAGGAAGGCCGGUGGCGAAGGUGGCCCUCUGGGCAAUGACUGACGCUGAGGCGCGAAAGCGUGGGGAGCAAACAGGAUUAGAAACCCGAGUAGUCC
rnacentral:rRNA from 1 species